rnacentral:rRNA from 1 species
CCUACGGGAGGCAGCAGUGAGGAAUAUUGGUCAAUGGGCGCGAGCCUGAACCAGCCAAGUCGCGUGAAGGAUGACUGCCCUACGGGUUGUAAACUUCUUUUAUAAAGGAAUAAAGUGAGGCACGUGCGCCUUUUUGUAUGUACUUUAUGAAUAAGGCUCGGCUAACUCCGUGCCAGCAGCCGGGGUAAUACGGAGGAUCCGAGCGUUAUCCGGAUUUCUUGGGUUUAAGGGGAGCGUAGAUGGGUUGUUAAGUCAGUUGUGAAAGUUUGCGGCUAAACCGUAAAAUUGCAAUUGAUACUGGCAGUCUUGAGUACAGUUGAGGUAGGCGGAAUUCGUGGGGUAGCGGUGAAAUGCUUAGAUAUCACGAAGAACUCCGAUUGCGAAGGCAGCUUACUAAACUGCCACUGACAUUGAUGCUCGAAAGUGUGGGUAUCAAACAGGAUUAGAUACCCGAGUAGUC